GACAGAGGUGCCAAGCGUUUAGGCGGAAUCACUGGGUUUAAAGGGUGCGUAGGCGGACUUAUAAGUCAGUGGUGAAAUCUCGUUGCUUAACAACGAACGUGCCAUUGAUACUGUAGGUCUUGAGUACAGAUGCCGUUGGCGGAAUGUGUCAUGUAGCGGUGAAAUGCAUGGAUAUGACACAGAACACCGAUUGCGAAGGCAGCUGACGAAACUGUAACUGACGCUGAGGCACGAAAGCGUGGGGAUCAAACAGG
rnacentral:rRNA from 1 species